CAGGUUCAAUCCUUGGCCUCACUCAGUGGGUUUAGGAUCCGGCAUGGCUGUGAGCUGUGUAGGUCACGGAUGCAGCUUGGAUCCUGUGUUGCUGUGGCUGUGGUGUAGGCCGGCAGCUGUAGCUCCGAUUCAACUCUUAGCCUGCGAACCUCCGUAUGCCGUGGGGGUGGCCCUAAAAAGCAAAAAAUAAAUAAAUAAAUAAAAAUAAAAUAAAGCACAGGGUCAUCUCAGAAGAAAAGUAACUUCCGUUACUCAGUGUGUCCUGUGAUUUGAAGAUGAGCAGGAGCAGGUGCAGGAGGCGGGCCAGGUGGGGCAGGAGGGGUGCAGCACCUGGCCCGGGCCUGGAUGGGGUCUGGAGGGUCGGAGGGCAGGCGGCAGCCACCUGCGCUGCUCAGGCCGCGAGGUCCGGGGAGGAGGGGGCGGAUUUCGUCUCCUGCGGCCGGUGCUGAGCCUGCUGAGCCUCCCCCAGGGAACCGCAGGCUCUGCUCUCACUGACUCUCCUGAGCCCAGGACACCCCCUGUUGUGUAGGGUCUCCACCAGGCUCUCACCCCAGGCACCCUGAACGCCUCAGCUCCCAACUCCAUGGAUGUUUGUCUGAUGUUUCCCUGAAGUCCAAGCCAACAUCGAUUAGAUUUUCUAAAGCAGCCUUAUUAAAAACGCAGGAAGGAGUUCCCGUUAUGGCUCAGGGGAAACGAAUCUGACUGGCCUACAUGAGGACGCAGGUUCGCUCCCUGGCCUCGCUCAGUGGGUUAAGGAUCCAGCGUUGCCGUGAGCUGUGGUGUAGGUCGCAGAUGCUGCUCGGAUCCUGCGUUGCUGUGACUGUGGUGUAGGCCAGCGGCUACAGCUCUGAUUCGACCCUCAGCCUGGGAACUUCCACAUACCCUGAGUGUGGCCCUUAAAAAAAAAAUUUAAAAAAAAAACACAGCAAAACCUGAAAGGAGGUAGCCAUCCAGAGAGGAGAGGGCUCAGGGUACACCUGCUGACCUGCCGACUGGUUGGGGAAAGAGGGCUGCUAGGCCACAGGGGUACAAGGCCCUGUAGGGGGCAUUGAGGAGGGGGCAGGAAGGGGGGCGGGCUUGAGUAGGGCAGGGGGUAUUACAAGGAGCCGGUGGGGCGAUGACAAGGGUCUGGUCAUUCUUGUCUGGACCAGAGGCUUGAGUUCAGUCUCCUUGCAGGGCCCUUGGAGCCCAGCAGUUUCUAGAGAGAGAAUAGUUUUCACAACGGCAGGGUUUCUUCUACUGUGUGGACGCACCUGCCAGCCCCACCCCUGACCAGCGCAGGAAGGUCACAGGACACUUGAUCCUGAGCCGCUGUCAUUUGGGGAGGCUCCCGUCAAUAAUCCAAAGGCUGGCAGGACUGCUCUCAGUACCCCGAGGAGGGCUGUUGGGGACAAGCUGCCAGUGCAGGCUAUGUCCUUGCUCCAGAGCCUCGUCAGUGCAGAAACAUCUGGAAAAGCAGAGUUGAGUUCUCUUGUGGCGACGGCCGUGCUCUAGAGUCACGCUAUCUGUUCCGGAGCUGUCAUCGGCCGAGAGAGAAACCAGACAACCAAAUAGGACCCGAGUCCUGCCUUUAAAUGCUCAGAGGCUUUGUGAAAUGUGAUCAGCGCCUCCUGCAGGUCAGUUCGUAGCCACUCUUCCAGCCCGAAACUCAAGGACCUUGAGGGUCGAAGUGGGAGCUCCCUUCAGGGAAAGAGGAAAAGGGCAAGGCCCUGGCAGGUCCAGCCUCCUCUCUGAAAGCCUGAACCCCAGGACCAGCCGUUAUUUGCAUAUUGACAAUCUGUUUGCUAAAUCAGCAGUGGAGCAGAAAAUAGAAUUUUUGAAUCAUUUGCUCUUGACCUUUCUUAUUUCAUAUUUUGAAAGAAACUCAAAUUUAGCUCCUAUCAUCUUGGCAAUCAUUCAGAAUAAUAUUUUUAAUGUGUCUAUUUGUUUAGGAAUGAGGAAAUGAGGUUUCUGGAUAUUGAUGCAAUUUUGAAAUGCAUAACUUUAUUCUCAGUAGAAAUAUGGGCAUUGAAAAAACUAAAGAUAAAUGCAAUUUCAGAAACUGUAAGUUCACUUUCUUUUUUCUGUCUUUCUUUAGCUGUACAUCCCAUUUUUAAUGCACUUAAGAAAAAGGAGGCAUUCCCGUCAGGGCUCAGUGGAACAAAUCUGACUAGGAAGCAUGAGGAUGCAGGUUCGAUCCCUGGCCUCGCUCUGGGGGUUAAGGAUCUGGUGUUGCCGUGAGCUGUGGUGUAGGUCACAGACGUGGCUCGGAUCCCAGUGUAGGCCGGCAGCUCUGAUUCAACCCCUAGCCUGGGAACCUCUAUAUGCUGCAGGUGCGGCCCUAAAAA
rnacentral:lncRNA from 1 species